UACGGGGGGGGGCAAGCGUUGUUCGGAAUUACUGGGCGUAAAGGGCUCGUAGGCGGCCAACUAAGUCAGACGUGAAAUCCCUCGGCUUAACCGGGGAACUGCGUCUGAUACUGGAUGGCUUGAGAUUGGGAGAGGGAUGCGGAAUUCCAGGUGUAGCGGUGAAAUGCGUAGAUAUCUGGAGGAACACCGGUGGCGAAGGCGGCAUCCUGGACCAACACUGACGCUGAGGAGCGAAAAGCCAGGGGAGCAAACGGG
rnacentral:rRNA from 1 species